AUGUCUUUUUCUCUGGUUCACUGAACGUGUGAUUACAGGCAAGGUGAGACUGAUAAGCAUCGGUUUCUACACUGUAUGUUGAGUGUUAUUAUAAGCACCCAGACCACUUCACCUCACUGCAGUGUCCCUGGCAAUGCUUUCCUAUUGGGGAAGUCCUAAUGUGAUCGCCGCGCAUGUGCAUUAAAUUCCUCUCCGGGGAACAUCGGCGCUGAAAUAAGGUAGGUGACAG